rnacentral:rRNA from 1 species
GCUCUCAGCUUAUUUUGCGCAGCUUAGGUGGGAGACGUUGAACUUCUUUUUCCGGAAAGGAGGGAGUCAUCAGUGAGAUACCACUCUUGGUAAGCUAGAGCGCUCAUUUCUAACCGUUAUCCGGUAGAAAGACAGUUUCAGGCGGGCAGUUUGACUGGGGCAGUCACCUCCCAAAAGGUAAUGGAGGUGUACAAAGGUUCGCUCAGGCUGGACGGAAAUCAGCCAUAGAGUGUAAAAGCAUAAGCGAGCUUGACUGCGAGACUGACAUGUCAAGCAGAGACGAAAGUCGGUUUUAGUGAUCCGACGGUGCUGAGUGGAAAGGCCGUCGCUCAACGGAUAAAAGUUACUCUAGGGAUAAC